CUGAAGCAAUCCCACCAACUCUCUCUUUCAUCUCUCCCUCUCUUCCCCUACCUGUGAAUCGCUUGAUUCUGUGGAUGAAAUUGAGAAGAUCUUAAAUCUCUUGGUCCCUCUCUCUCUCUCUCUGUGUCCAUCUCUCUCUUCGUCCCCCUCUCUCUCUGUCUACCUCUCUGCUCCUCUCAGUCAUCAGUUCAAACCCUAGAAAAUUGGGGAUUUUUCCAAUAUCAAAGGAUUGACCAAUCUUUCAGUCACAGGCAUAUGUUGAAAAUUUUGGAGCGGAGCAAGGGAUGUGGAGGUGGAUCUUAUUUGGGAUAGGCUUCGUUUUUGGGAUUCCCUUUGGCCGUUGGUAUCUUCAGAAGUUAAGGAUUGUUCCUUUCAAGCAGCUCCUCUCCUCCUUCUGUGACGACGAGACGAUGCCGGCGACCACAUCUCCUCUCCUCUCAAGUUUUCAUAGUUAUGAUUUCUCUUUCUCACUCUCAUCUGGAUCUCAUUGGCUGGCUUUCUCUCAACCUCUCUGUGGCUGGCUUUCUCUCAACCUCUCUGUGGCAGGGAAGAACUCUAAUUUUCUCCCUCUCUUUCUAACUGUGCGAUUUAGAUGAUUCGCAUCAUAGCAGAAAGUAUUUCAACUUUGAAUUUUGGUCUAGACUUUCUAACAAAAUGAUUUAUAUGUCCUAUUUUAAUUUAGGGCUUAAUGAUUUGGGUAUUGAAUCGCAAGUCCUUAUUUAUUUUUUUUGGUAAUAUUUUGGAUUUAUAUAGGAAUUUGGUAAUUUUUUGAAAUUAUAAUUAUGUUUUUUU